ensembl:lncRNA
AGUCAGGAAGUGGGACGACCGGCUUGCGAGGCUUCGAACGUCAUCAUUUUUGGCUCCUCCCCUAAAUAAAGCAAGCCUCGAUACGCGCUUCGUGGACACACCCCCUCCAUUACUCGACACACGCUUCGAAACCUCGGCACAUCUAGUAACAUCACUAGCUGAGACUCUGCUCUCGUUUGGAUGAAUCUGAUAUAAUAACUGUUGGUUUAUUUAUCGGUGGAGCUGCAGAACCUUUUGCACAGACAGUUUUCCUGCCCGUUGGCUUGGUUUAACCAGUUUUCUGCCUUCGGCUGAUCCUACCAGCAGACACUGAAAGGACUCUGAUAGUUCGGUGUCUCAUGAUCAGUGUGAGGAUCUUCUGAGUGAAGCCAACAGAAGGAAACGCUCAUCUGGAUGUGAAGAAGGAGACUGAAUGGACAACAUCCUCAAGUGAAAGUAGCAGUUCCUCCUGAAGGUCAGAGAUGGCAGCAUCUGAGGGCUUCUUCAAAAGAAGACGUAGUUGAUGAAGGCGUUCUGGAGCAGGACCAGAAAGACCAUGACCAAGCAGCGUUGAGAUCUUAGGCAGCAUCUCCCUCAG